AGGGAUUCAUGAAAAAUGCAUUUGAUGAAAAAAUGUGCAGGGAUUUAAAAAACAUUUAGUGCCAAAAUUAACUUAUCUUUUAAUUCCUUGUUCUAUGAACUUUUUUUCUUUUUCUUUUUAAAGAUUUAUUUAUUUUACUUGAAAGUCAGAGUUAUGCAGAGAGAGACAGAGAGCCUUCCAUCUGAGGGUUCACUCCCCUGUCGCUCCCCCUCUUCGUGGAGGAACGACACUAAGCCCUGCCCAGGCUUCAUAUCCGAGUCACGGCACCAUUAUGUCGCUCCCCCUCUUCGUGGAGGAACGACACAGGACCCUGCGCUGUUCUUUCGUCUGCUCGGCCCUCCCCGGGUUUGCUGCUGGUUCUUCCCGGGUUGGCUACUAUCCCUUCCACCUCCGUGGAAUGGCGGUUCCCCCUAGCCACUUUCCCCACUUCCGCGGGGGAGCGGCACACCGCCGGCCGGCUUUCUCAGGGGCUGCACAGGUGUUCCUUCAGCUAGAUGUUCCCCUUAGAUGUUCCUGGUGCAUGCCGUCCCUCCCCUCCUCCACAGUCCUCCUCCGCCAAUCCCAACUCGGCCGCCCACACACCGAGUACGCUGCUCUCCAAUCAGGAGCAAGUCCUACAGUUUAUUGGCUGAACUGGAGGCAGCUGUGUAGAAGCCUCUUUCUUCUCUCCCAGCGCCAUAUUGUGGGAGAGCAGAUGCAUAGAAUAAGUCCCAAUUCCAGUAACAGUAUAGUCCGAAUUGCUCCCCACACUCCCCCAACUGGCCACAACAGCCAGACCUGCACCAAUCCGAAGCCAGGAGACAGGAGCCUCCUCCAGGUCUCCCAUGAUGGUGCAAGGGGCCCAAGGACUUGGGCCAUCUUCUACUGCUAUCCCAGGCCACAGCAGAGAGCUGGACAGGAAGGGGAGCAGCCAGACCUCGAACCAGCAACCAUAAGGGAUGCCGAUACUUAAGCCAGAGCGCUAACCCGGUUCUCCACAGCGCCGGCCCCCCAUGAACUUUUCAAAGUGCCUUUUUGUGUACACCUGCCUGUGUGGACACUGCCCCAGUACUAGUCAGUGUGAUGGGUAGACAGGUGUGUACACUUGUCCUGUGUGGAUGCUGCCCUGGUACUUGUCAGUGUGAUGGGUAGACAGGUGUAUACACUUGUCCUGUGUGGACGCUGCCCCAGUACUAGUCAGUGUGAUGGGUAGACAGGUGUGUACACUUGUCCUGUGUGGACACUGCCCUGGUACUUGUCAGUGUGAUGGGUGUACAGUGUGUACACUUGUCCUGUGUGGACACUGCCCUGGUACUUGUCAGUGUGAUGGGUGUGCAGGUGUGUACACUUGUCCUGUGUGGACACUGCCCUGGUACUUGUCAGUGUGAUGGGUAGACAGGUGUGUACACUUGUCCUGUGUGGACGCUGCCCUGGUACUUGUCAGUGUGAUGGGUAGACAGGUGUGUACACUGUCCCCUGUGUGGAUACUGCCCUAGUACUUGUCAGUGUGAUGGGUGUACAGUGUGUACACUUGUCCUGUGUGGACACUUCCCUGGUACUUGUCAGUGUGAUGGGUAGACAGGUGUUUACACUUGUCCUGUGUGGACGCUGCCCCGGUACUUGUCAGUGUGAUGGGUGUACAGUGUGUACACUUGUCAUGUGUGGACGCUGCCCUGGUACUUGUCAGUGUGAUGGGUAGACAGGUACGUACACUGUCUCCUGUGUGGAUGCUGCCCUGGUACUUGUCAGUGUGAUGGGUAGACAGGUGUGUACACUGUCCCCUGUGUGGAUACUGCCCUAGUACUUGUCAGUGUGAUGGGUGUACAGUGUGUACACUUGUCCUGUGUGGACACUUCCCUGGUACUUGUCAGUGUGAUGGGUAGACAGGUGUUUACACUUGUCCUGUGUGGACGCUGCCCCGGUACUUGUCAGUGUGAUGGGUGUACAGUGUGUACACUUGUCAUGUGUGGACGCUGCCCUGGUACUUGUCAGUGUGAUGGGUGUGCAGGUGUGCACGCUGGCCCUUUGUGGACACUGCCCUGGUAUUUGUCAGUGUGACGGGUGUACAGGUGUGUACACUUGUCCUGUGUGGACACUUCUCUGGUACUUGUCAGAGUGAUGGGUAGACAGGUGUAUACACUUGUCCUGUGUGGACACUACCCUGGUACUUGUCAGUGUGAUGGGUGUGCAGGUGUACACUGUCUCCUGUGUGGAUGCUGCUCUGGCACUUGUCAGUGUGAUGGGUGUGCAGGUGUGUACACUUGUCCUGUGUGGACGCUGCCCUGGUACUAGUCAGUGUGAUGGGUGUGCAGGUGUGUACACUUGUCCUGUGUGGACACUACCCUGGUACUUGUCAGUGUGAUGGGUGUGCAGGUGUACACUGUCCCCUGUGUGGACACUGCCCUGGUACUUGUCAGUGUGAUGGGUGUGCAGGUGUGUACACUUGUCCUGUGUGGACGCUGCCCUGGUACUUGUCAGUGUGAUGGGUGUGCAGGUGUGUACACUUGUCCUGUGUGGACGCUGCCCUGGUACUUGUCAGUGUGAUGGGUGUGCAGGUGUGUACACUUGUCCUGUGUGGACGCUGCCCUGGUACUAGUCAGUGUGAUGGGUGUGCAGGUGUGUACACUUGUCCUGUGUGGACGCUGCCCCGGUACUUGUCAGUGUGAUGGGUGUGCAGGUGUGUACACUUGUCCUGUGUGGACACUGCCCUGGUACUUGUCAGUGUGAUGGGUAGACAGGUGUAUACACUUGUCCUGUGUGGACGCUGCCCUGGUACUAGUCAGUGUGAUGGGUGUGCAGGUGUGUACACUUGUCCUGUGUGGACACUGCCCUGGUACUUGUCAGUGUGAUGGGUGUGCAGGUGUGUACACUUGUCCUGUGUGGAUGCUUCCCUGGUACUUGUCAGUGUGAUGGGUGUGCAGGUGUGUACACUUGUCCUGUGUGGACACUGCCCUGGUACUUGUCAGUGUGAUGGGUGUGCAGGUGUGUACACUUGUCCUGUGUGGAUGCUUCCCUGGUACUUGUCAGUGUGAUGGGUGUGCAGGUGUGUACACUUGUCCUGUGUGGAUGCUGCCCUGGUACUUGUCAGUGUGAUGGGUGUGCAGGUGUGUACACUUGUCCUGUGUGGACGCUGCCCUGGUACUAGUCAGUGUGAUGGGUGUGCAGGUGUGUACACUUGUCCUGUGUGGACGCUGCCCUGGUACUUGUCAGUGUGAUGGGUAGACAGGUGUAUACACUUGUCCUGUGUGGACGCUGCCCUGGUACUAGUCAGUGUGAUGGGUAGACAGUGUGUACACUUGUCCUGUGUGGACACUGCCCUGGUACUUGUCAGUGUGAUGGGUGUGCAGGUGUGUACACUUGUCCUGUGUGGAUGCUGCCCUGGUACUUGUCAGUGUGAUGGGUGUGCAGGUGUGUACACUUGUCCUGUGUGGAUGCUGCCCUGGUACUUGUCAGUGUGAUGGGUGUGCAGGUGUGUACACUUGUCCUGUGUGGACGCUGCUCUGGUACUUGUCAGUGUGAUGGGUGUGCAGGUGUGUACACUUGUCCUGUGUGGACGCUGCCCUGGUACUUGUCAGUGUGAUGGGUGUGCAGGUGUGUACACUUGUCCUGUGUGGACACUGCCCUGGUACUUGUCAGUGUGAUGGGUGUGCAGGUGUGUACACUUGUCCUGUGUGGAUGCUGCCCUGGUAGUUGUCAGUGUGAUGGGUGUGCAGGUGUGUACACUUGUCCUGUGUGGACGCUGCCCUGGUACUUGUCAGUGUGAUGGGUGUGCAGGUGUGUACACUUGUCCUGUGUGGACGCUGCCCUGGUACUUGUCAGUGUGAUGGGUAGACAGGUGUUUACACUUGUCCUGUGUGGACGCUGCCCCGGUACUUGUCAGUGUGAUGGGUGUACAGUGUGUACACUUGUCAUGUGUGGACGCUGCCCUGGUACUUGUCAGUGUGAUGGGUGUGCAGGUGUGCACGCUGGCCCUUUGUGGACACUGCCCUGGUAUUUGUCAGUGUGACGGGUGUACAGGUGUGUACACUUGUCCUGUGUGGACACUUCUCUGGUACUUGUCAGAGUGAUGGGUAGACAGGUGUAUACACUUGUCCUGUGUGGACACUACCCUGGUACUUGUCAGUGUGAUGGGUGUCCAGGUGUACACUGUCUCCUGUGUGGAUGCUGCCCUGGUACUUGUCAGUGUGAUGGGUGUGCAGGUGUGUACACUUGUCCUGUGUGGACGCUGCCCUGGUACUAGUCAGUGUGAUGGGUGUGCAGGUGUGUACACUUGUCCUGUGUGGACACUACCCUGGUACUUGUCAGUGUGAUGGGUGUGCAGGUGUACACUGUCCCCUGUGUGGACACUGCCCUGGUACUUGUCAGUGUGAUGGGUGUGCAGGUGUGUACACUUGUCCUGUGUGGACGCUGCCCUGGUACUUGUCAGUGUGAUGGGUGUGCAGGUGUGUACACUUGUCCUGUGUGGACGCUGCCCUGGUACUUGUCAGUGUGAUGGGUGUGCAGGUGUGUACACUUGUCCUGUGUGGACGCUGCCCUGGUACUAGUCAGUGUGAUGGGUGUGCAGGUGUGUACACUUGUCCUGUGUGGACGCUGCCCCGGUACUUGUCAGUGUGAUGGGUGUGCAGGUGUGUACACUUGUCCUGUGUGGACACUGCCCUGGUACUUGUCAGUGUGAUGGGUGUGCAGGUGUGUACACUUGUCCUGUGUGGAUGCUUCCCUGGUACUUGUCAGUGUGAUGGGUGUGCAGGUGUGUACACUUGUCCUGUGUGGAUGCUGCCCUGGUACUUGUCAGUGUGAUGGGUGUGCAGGUGUGUACACUUGUCCUGUGUGGACGCUGCCCUGGUACUUGUCAGUGUGAUGGGUGUGCAGGUGUGUACACUUGUCCUGUGUGGACGCUGCCCUGGUACUUGUCAGUGUGAUGGGUGUGCAGGUGUGUACACUUGUCCUGUGUGGACGCUGCCCUGGUACUAGUCAGUGUGAUGGGUGUGCAGGUGUGUACACUUGUCCUGUGUGGACGCUGCCCCGGUACUUGUCAGUGUGAUGGGUGAGCAGGUGUGUACACUUGUCCUGUGUGGACACUGCCCUGGUACUUGUCAGUGUGAUGGGUAGACAGGUGUAUACACUUGUCCUGUGUGGACGCUGCCCUGGUACUAGUCAGUGUGAUGGGUGUGCAGGUGUGUACACUUGUCCUGUGUGGACACUGCCCUGGUACUUGUCAGUGUGAUGGGUGUGCAGGUGUGUACACUUGUCCUGUGUGGAUGCUGCCCUGGUACUUGUCAGUGUGAUGGGUGUGCAGGUGUAUACACUUGUCCUGUGUGGACACUACCCUGGUACUUGUCAGUGUGAUGGGUGUGCAGGUGUACACUGUCUCCUGUGUGGAUGCUGCCCUGGUACUUGUCAGUGUGAUGGGUGUGCAGGUGUGUACACUUGUCCUGUGUGGACGCUGCCCUGGUACUUGUCAGUGUGAUGGGUGUGCAGGUGUGUACACUUGUCCUGUGUGGACACUACCCUGGUACUUGUCAGUGUGAUGGGUGUGCAGGUGUACACUGUCCCCUGUGUGGACACUGCCCUGGUACUUGUCAGUGUGAUGGGUGUGCAGGUGUGUACACUUGUCCUGUGUGGACGCUGCCCUGGUACUUGUCAGUGUGAUGGGUGUGCAGGUGUGUACACUUGUCCUGUGUGGAUGCUGCCCUGGUACUUGUCAGUGUGAUGGGUGUGCAGGUGUGUACACUUGUCCUGUGUGGACGCUGCCCUGGUACUUGUCAGUGUGAUGGGUGUGCAGGUGUGUACACUUGUCCUGUGUGGAUGCUUCCCUGGUACUUGUCAGUGUGAUGGGUGUGCAGGUGUGUACACUUGUCCUGUGUGGAUGCUGCCCUGGUACUUGUCAGUGUGAUGGGUGUGCAGGUGUGUACACUUGUCCUGUGUGGACGCUGCUCUGGUACUUGUCAGUGUGAUGGGUGUGCAGGUGUGUACACUUGUCCUGUGUGGAUGCUGCCCUGGUACUUGUCAGUGUGAUGGGUGUGCAGGUGUGUACACUUGUCCUGUGUGGACACUGCCCUGGUACUUGUCAGUGUGAUGGGUGUGCAGGUGUGUACACUUGUCCUGUGUGGAUGCUGCCCUGGUAGUUGUCAGUGUGAUGGGUGUGCAGGUGUGUACACUUGUCCUGUGUGGACGCUGCCCUGGUACUUGUCAGUGUGAUGGGUGUGCAGGUGUACACUGUCCCCUGUGUGGACACUGCCCUGGUACUUGUCAGUGUGAUGGGUGUGCAGGUGUGUACACUUGUCCUGUGUGGACGCUGCCCUGGUACUUGUCAGUGUGAUGGGUGUGCAGGUGUUUACACUUGUCCUGUGUGGACGCUGCCCCGGUACUUGUCAGUGUGAUGGGUGUACAGUGUGUACACUUGUCAUGUGUGGACGCUGCCCUGGUACUUGUCAGUGUGAUGGGUGUGCAGGUGUGCACGCUGGCCCUUUGUGGACACUGCCCUGGUAUUUGUCAGUGUGACGGGUGUACAGGUGUGUACACUUGUCCUGUGUGGACACUUCUCUGGUACUUGUCAGAGUGAUGGGUAGACAGGUGUAUACACUUGUCCUGUGUGGACACUACCCUGGUACUUGUCAGUGUGAUGGGUGUGCAGGUGUACACUGUCUCCUGUGUGGAUGCUGCCCUGGUACUUGUCAGUGUGAUGGGUGUGCAGGUGUGUACACUUGUCCUGUGUGGACGCUGCCCUGGUACUUGUCAGUGUGAUGGGUGUGCAGGUGUGUACACUUGUCCUGUGUGGACACUACCCUGGUACUUGUCAGUGUGAUGGGUGUGCAGGUGUACACUGUCCCCUGUGUGGACACUGCCCUGGUACUUGUCAGUGUGAUGGGUGUGCAGGUGUGUACACUUGUCCUGUGUGGACGCUGCCCUGGUACUUGUCAGUGUGAUGGGUGUGCAGGUGUGUACACUUGUCCUGUGUGGAUGCUGCCCUGGUACUUGUCAGUGUGAUGGGUGUGCAGGUGUGUACACUUGUCCUGUGUGGACGCUGCCCUGGUACUUGUCAGUGUGAUGGGUGUGCAGGUGUGUACACUUGUCCUGUGUGGAUGCUUCCCUGGUACUUGUCAGUGUGAUGGGUGUGCAGGUGUGUACACUUGUCCUGUGUGGAUGCUGCCCUGGUACUUGUCAGUGUGAUGGGUGUGCAGGUGUGUACACUUGUCCUGUGUGGACGCUGCUCUGGUACUUGUCAGUGUGAUGGGUGUGCAGGUGUGUACACUUGUCCUGUGUGGAUGCUGCCCUGGUACUUGUCAGUGUGAUGGGUGUGCAGGUGUGUACACUUGUCCUGUGUGGACACUGCCCUGGUACUUGUCAGUGUGAUGGGUGUGCAGGUGUGUACACUUGUCCUGUGUGGAUGCUGCCCUGGUAGUUGUCAGUGUGAUGGGUGUGCAGGUGUGUACACUUGUCCUGUGUGGACGCUGCCCUGGUACUUGUCAGUGUGAUGGGUGUGCAGGUGUACACUGUCCCCUGUGUGGACACUGCCCUGGUACUUGUCAGUGUGAUGGG